rnacentral:rRNA from 1 species
ACGUAGGGUGCGAGCGUUAAUCGGAAUUACUGGGCGUAAAGGGUGCGCAGGUGGUUUGUUAAGUCAGAUGUGAAAGCCCUGGGCUUAACCUAGGAAUUGCGUUUGAAACUGGCGAGCUAGAGUCUGUCAGAGGGGGGUAGAAUUCCACGUGUAGCAGUGAAAUGCGUAGAGAUGUGGAGGAAUAUCGAUGGCGAAGGCAGCCCCCUGGGAUAAGACUGACGCUCAUGCACGAAAGCGUGGGGAGCAAACAGGAUUAGAUACCCUGGUAGUCCACGCCCUAAACGAUGUCGACUGGUUGUUGGGCAACUUGAUUGUUCAGUAACGAAGCUAACGCGAGAAGUCGACCGCCUGGGGAGUACGGUCGCAAGAUUA